rnacentral:tRNA from 1 species
AGUAUAGUAGUUUAAUGGUAAAACUUACUUCGGAAACUGUCUGUGGAAACCAAGUAAACGUGGGUUCGAGUCCCGCCUAUACUC